rnacentral:rRNA from 1 species
GGUAGCCGGCCUGAGAGGGCGACCGGCCACACUGGGACUGAGACACGGCCCAGACUCCUACGGGAGGCAGCAGUGGGGAAUAUUGCACAAUGGGCGAAAGCCUGAUGCAGCGACGCCGCGUGAGGGAUGACGGCCUUCGGGUUGUAAACCUCUUUCAGCAGGGAAGAAGCGAAAGUGACGGUACCUGCAGAAGAAGCACCGGCUAACUACGUGCCAGCAGCCGCGGUAAUACGUAGGGUGCGAGCGUUGUCCGGAAUUAUUGGGCGUAAAGAGCUUGUAGGCGGUUUGUCGCGUCUGCCGUGAAAAUUCGAGGCUCAACCUCGAACUUGCGGUGGGUACGGGCAGACUAGAGUGUGGUAGGGGAGACUGGAAUUCCUGGUGUAGCGGUGAAAUGCGCAGAUAUCAGGAGGAACACCGAUGGCGAAGGCAGGUCUCUGGGCCACUACUGACGCUGAGAAGCGAAAGCAUGGGGAGCGAACAGGAUUAGAUACCCUGGUAGUCCAUGCCGUAAACGUUGGGAACUAGGUGUGGGUCUCAUUCCACGAGAUCCGUGCCGCAGCUAACGCAUUAAGUUCCCCCGCC